UACGUAGGGUGCAAGCGUUAAUCGGAAUUACUGGGCGUAAAGCGUGCGCAGGCGGUUAUGUAAGACAGAUGUGAAAUCCCCGGGCUCAACCUGGGGAACUGCAUUUGUGACUGCAUAGCUAGAGUACGGGUAGAGGGGGAUGGAAUUCCGCGUGUAGCAGUGAAAUGCGUAGAUAUGCGGAGGAACACCGAUGGCGAAGGCAAUCCCCCUGGACCUGUACUGAC
rnacentral:rRNA from 1 species